rnacentral:rRNA from 1 species
AUGCGUAUGUUGAGAUGGAUGUGUGGCCACACAAGGAAGGAUCGAGUCCGGAAUGAUGAUAUACGAGAUAGAGUUGGGGUAGCACCAAUUGAAGAGAAGCUUGUCCAACAUCGUCUGAGAUGGUUUGGGCAUAUUCAGCGCAGGCCUCCAGAAGCUCCGUUGCAUAGUGGACAGCUAAAGCGUGCGGAGAAUGUCAAGAGAGGGCGGGGUAGACCGAAUUUGACAUGGGAGGAGUCCGUUAAGAGACCUGAAGGAUUGGAGUAUCACCAAAGAGCUAGCUAUGGACAGGGGUGCGUGGAAGCUUGCUAUCCAUGUGCCAGAGCCAUGAGUUGGUUGUGA